GAUGAAGAACGCAGCGAAAUGCGAUAAGUAAUGCGAAUUGCAGAAUUUCCGUGAAUCAUCGAGUCUUUGAACGCACAUUGCGCCCUCUGGUAUUCCGGAGGGCAUGCCUGUCCGAGCGUCAUUGCUGCCCUCAAGCACGGCUUGUGUGUUGGGCUCCGUCCCCCGAUCCCGGGGGACGGGCCCGAAAGGCAGCGGCGGCACCGCGUCCGGUCCUCGAGCGUAUGGGGCUUUGUCACCCGCUCUGUAGGCCCGGCCGGCGCUUGCCGAUCAACCAAAUUUUUAUCCAGGUUGACCUCGGAUCAGGUAGGGAUACCCGCUGAACUUAAGCAUAUCAAUAAGCGGAGGA
rnacentral:misc_RNA from 1 species